rnacentral:lncRNA from 1 species
GGUGGAGUCUCCUCUGCACAUGCCCCACUGUGUACUGUGCUGAGGAACCCCUGAGUGCUCCGCCCUAGGUUUCACACCCCACGUGCACAUUGGCUCUCUGAGUUUAAGGGCUGCAGUAAUAUCCUGUUCUAGGAACAACAAGGACAGAGCCCAGACUGUCCCAGAUGGUUUCUACUCAUCUCAGGAUAUUGUCUUCUUGGAACAUUCUAAAGUUAUUCUGAGAACUAGGAGGUACAGAAAGCUGAGUUGGUCAAGGCCAUUCAGGUCUUGUCCUCCUGACCACAGAAACAAAGUAGACUAUAAAACAAUAAGCAUUGGCAGAAGUAAUCAUAUUGCAUUAUGAUAGCCAUUCUUCAUUAUGAUAAAAAGAAUUUAUCCUCCAAAAAGUUAUCUGAGUUCUAAAUCUGAAUGAACCCAGCAAAACAUAGAUUUGGGACUGUUGUUACAGUUUAAUAAAAUAUAUACUAAACCAAUAAAUUUAAUUAAAUACAUAAACUCUAGAAGUAUAAAAAUCAUAAAGGCUCAUUUCAGUAAAGGUUGGCAUACAAAGUUAUCAGAUGUAUGACAGAGUAAUAGAAAAUGUUGACACUGCUUAGGGCAAAGUGAAUAUGAUUGAUAUUCAGAUGAACAAAGAAGAUAGUAAACUCAAUAGAAAAAUGGGCCAAAAAAUUCAAUACAUUGUUAACAAUCUGACAAAUGCAAAUGUACACAAAUAAAAUGAGAUCUGUAUUUUCACCACUUGCUUAGAAAAUAUAAGAAUCCUAGAUAACAUUGAGUGAUGAGGAUAUGAGGAAAACAACCUUUAUGGGCAAUGGAUGGGAAAUUAAAUGGUUUUAACCAUUUCAGAAAAUAACAUGACAGGACCCAUUUGAAAGUAUGCAUACUCUACAACCUGUCUCGAUGAUGGGUACAUAUCCCUGAUAUAGUUUGGAUGUGUGUCCCCUCCAAAUCUCAUGUUAAAAUAUGAUCCCCAAUGUUGGAGGUGGGGCCCAGUGAGAGGUAUUGGAUCAUGGGGUGGAUGCCUUAUGAAUAGCUUAGCACAGGAAUGUCCAACUUUUGGCUUCCCUGGACAGCAUUGGAAGAAGAAUUUUCUUGAGCCACACAUAAAAUACACUAAAAAUAGCUGAUGAGCUAAAAUAAAUAAAUACAUAAAUAAAUAAAAAUAAACACACACACACACACACACACACACACACACACACAUACACAAACUCUCUUUUGUUUUAACAAAGUUGACAAAUUUGGGCCACAUUCAAAGCUGUUCUGACCUGCAUUCAGCCCACAAGCUGUGGGUUGGACAAGCUUGGUUUAGCACAAUCCACUUGAGUGAGUUCUUCUCAGUGAGUUCAUAGAGAUCUGAUUGUUAGAAACAGCCUGGGACUGCCCCCUUGUCUCUCUUACUCCCUCUCUGACCAUGUGACACACUGGCUCCCCUUCACCUUCUGCCAUGAUUGUAAGCUUCUUGAGGCCUCACCCAGAGCAGAUAGCAUUGCUUCCUGUGCAGUCUGCAGAACCCCGAACCAAGAUAAACCUCUUUUAUUAAAAAAUAAUAAAUAAAUUACCCAGCAUUGGGUAUGUCUUCAUAGCAAUAUAAAGAGACUAACACAGCCCCUGACAAAUUGUAACACAUGACCAAAAAGUGUUUUCAUAAGGAUACCAUAAGGAAGUGAAUAUUUCAGUAGCAGGAUAUCAGUGUGAAUUCUACUGCAAGACUGGAUAGGGAAAAUGUGGUUGAUUCAUUUUAUUGAAAACUAUGCAGCAGCUACAGGGGAAUAAACAACCAAAAAUAACCUACAGCAAUGUGGGAAUGUAUGAAGGAUGUUAUGCUCUGUGAAAAAAUUAGAAAUAAAAUUAGAUUUAUAGCACAAUACUCUUUAAGCAAAAUGUAUACACUCACGUAUAUACACAUACACACACUCAGAAAACAACCUUCUUAUCUUGUAAGAAUUCUUUAAGAGUAAAGAACCUAUAUCAAACACAUUAGCAUGCCUGUCUGUGACAAGGGAUAAGGAAUAAAAAAAUGAAACAAGUAAAACCAGAGAAACUUGUAGGAAACAAUAAUGAUAAUGUCUCAUGAAGUAAAGAAUGUGAUUAAUUUUUUGCAACUGUGGUAUAAAAACAGAUUGUCAAAAUCAAAUGUAAUGAGCUUUAGCAUAGAGCUUAUUGUAGGGAAAAAAUCAAAUUUAAAUACUUAGUUUAUAUAGUUUGAUGCAGGAAUGGUCUCCUAUGUGAAGUAGUAAGAUACACUAAACAAUCCAUGGGUGUAUGGGAAGAAAAUACUCAAAAUGCUACUUAUAUUUAUUUUUUACUCAUUUUUCCAACAGUUUAAUAUCUAAAUGCUAGGGAAGGCCAGAUGUGAUGACUCACACCUGUAAUCCCAGUGCUUGGUUGGAGAGGGUGGGGUCAAGGCAGGAAGAACACUUGAGGCCAAGAGUUCUAGACCAGCCUGGGAAACCUAGUCGGUUUUUGUGUCCACACACAAAAAAAUUAAAAAUUAGCCAAGCAUGAUGCCAUGCACCUGUAGUUCCAUGUACUGGAGAGGCUGAAGCAGGAGGAUCACCUGAGGGAGGAGUUUGAGGCUGCAGUGAGCAAUGAUUAUUCCACUGCACCAUAGCCUGGGUGACAGAAUGAGACCCUGUCUCUUAAGUGGAAAUAAGUAAGUGUGAGGAGAACACGUGAUCUUUCUAGUUUUCAGUCCCUCUUGCAGUUCCCUGUAGAUUAUUUUGCUUAUUCCCAAUGUUCCAGCUGUCUGCACAUUGUAGGCUUGUUCUUCUACCUACUCAAGGCCCCAGAUCCAGCAAAUGUCCUCAGAGAUGGGCUCUGCUGCUAAUCUGUGAUCACCAAGGAAGGGCUUGUUUUUCUCUGAAAUUUAGUUCAUUGACACUUUAGACCCACAAUUUUUUGAUGGCUUUAAACAAAAAAAAAAAUAAUUUUUUAAAGUUCAUCCGAUAUUUUCUCAUUAUGGCAGGAGCAAUUGUCUUUGGUAACUUUAUUUUAAUUGGAAGAAGAAUUUCUAACAUUGGCAUUGUAAUGAGGUUUUUGGUCUUUGACCCUAGUGGAGCAAUUAAAUCCACAUCUAUUUCUUCUGUUAUGCAUGUAUUGAAGGAUCAAAUGAGAAAAUAUAUGUAGAGUGCACAAAGUGUCUAAUGUACACUAGUGAUAUACAGUUGUAUUAUGACUACACACCGAAAACACAUAAUCAACCAGAUUGCUUCCUGAGAACUAGAGCCAGGCUUUUCCAAUGAUACUUAACUGUCAAAUAAUUCUAUUCAAUUUUUCAUGGGAUUUAGGGUUUGGUCCAUGAAGUGCUGCCACAGUAUGCAAAUCAAUUAUAUCAAUAAAUGUGCUAAUUUAUUCAGCAAACGUAUUCUUGUAGCAAUAGUUAAUGAAAGAAGUAACAUUUAAUUUCUAGUAGAAGCUACUUCUCUCAUUGUGAACUCGUUACAAAGCUUGAAUGCUCUAGCUAUUUUGAGGAGCAUUAAUAAGCAUUACCUAAAGAAGAUGAUAUAUUCCCUAGACAACAAGAACUCUUAUUUCUCUUUAUCUUCUUUUUGAUAAAUGCUACAGUCUCUUGGUAGUGAAUCCAGAUUCUGUGGUGUGGGGAAAAGAAAGAGAGAUCAGACUGUUACUGUGUCUAUGUAGAAAGAAGUAGACAUAAGAGACUCCAUUUUGUUCUGUACUAAGAAAAAUUCUUCUGCCUUGAGAUGCUGUUAAUCUGUAACCCUACCCCCAACCCUGUGCUGGCAGAGACAUGCACUGUGUUGACUCAAGGUUUAAUGGAUUUAGGGCUAUGCAGGAUGUGCUUUGUUAAACAAGUGCUUGAAGGCAGUUUGCUUGUUAAAAGUCAUCACCACUCUCUAAUCUCAAGUACCCAGGGACACAAUACACUACACACUACGGAAGGCUGCAGGGACCUCUGCCUAGGAAAGCCAGGUAUUGUCCAAGGUUUCUCCCCAAGUGAUAGUCUGAGAUAUGGCCUUGUGGGAAGGGAAAGACCUGACCAUCCCCCAGCCAGACACCCAUAAAGGGUCUGUGCUGAGGAGGAUUAGUAAAAGAGGAAGGCCUCUUUGCAGUUGAGAUAAGAGGAAGGCAUCUGU